UAAAAUGUGGGUAAAGUCCAUAUAUGGAAUGGCAGCAUUCGAAAGGUUGAAGUUGUAUAUCUGUGGUGCAGAGGUUUUAACCAUUAGAUUUGAAUGUCAGUUGACUUAUUUGAUCGCAGUUGACAUUAAUGUGUAACAAAUUGAGAUUAUGGGAUGCAUCAUAUGCAUCUUAUGGGUUUUGUCAUUUAAAGUUUGGGGAGCAGGAUAUAAAAACUUGUUCCUUAAUUUUUGAAAUCUGAGGUUCCAAAAGAGAGAUGACAAUGUGAACAUCUUCCAGGCAAACUUUAUAAGUCCUGCUAAAAAAAGACCUCACUGCUUAAUUGGGCAGAAAGAUGGGGUGGCUCAGUGGCCUUUCCUGGUGCCGGGGGGCAGUGAGAGAGCAGGAUUGUGGCUGCAGUGGGAACCUGGUCAGAAGACACACCUUAAAAAACCAGAGGCAAUGUCUGCAGCUGUUAGCAACCUUAACACUGAAAAUUGCAAAUAUCCAUGUUCUUGUAUGUCUAUGGAAUUUAUUUGUUCUAGCUUUUGUUCUAGUUUUUUUGUGUUUGGUUUUUUUUUUUUCCCACUAAAAGGUUGUGUUUGUUCCCACCUGCAGUGCUGUGUGCCAGAUUUGUGGCACUCUGGUAGCCUGCUGUACACAUCUGCCUGGCAAAGUUAUCGGGUGGUGAGAAAUCUGAGGAUUCUGAGUGUUUUUUCAUGGUGAAACUUUGAAAGUCAAGCAAAUACUUUUAUCUUGACCUUUCUGCAAGGCUGCCCCAUAUUCACUAGUUGUCAGCACAUGUUUGUCUGGAGUCAUUCGUCACUGCCAUCCGUCACUCCUCUGCCAUUCCCAUCAGUCCCAUUAUCUGGGAUCAGGAGAGAGCUGAGGAUGUAGCCUGAAGGAUCAUUAAACCUCAGCUCCCAGGUACUGCAGGUAGUCCAGGUGGUCUGUUGUUAUUUAUAAUAAAGAAACAACACAGCAGAACUGCCUGGCAGUGGCCCAUGAGGCCCAGGGAAAGGACGGGCUGAGGGAUGUCAUCACUGAAGGACAGCUAAAAGUGGACUUUCUUCCUCCCACACUGUAAGCAGAGAGGAUUUAUUGAACAUCUGUUCAGUACAUGGCUGGGAAGAUUGAUUAAUUUAAUUGCUCACACUUUGCUUAAGUAACAUUUGAAUACUUAAUGUCAGGUUUGAAGGAUAUUACAACAUUUACUCGCGCACCUUUUUAAAGAGGCAGAGUAUCUCAUUACUUUUUGUUUCUUUCAAGGAAGUUGAAGUGCAUCCUGAAAUUUACUUUUUCCAGAGGUCUGGAAAAGCUUCUUCCUUCAUAAAUUUGACCAGUGGAGCAGCAUUCAUUAGAAUCUGAAUGAGAAGAGAGAAGGGGAUAUAUGGCAAUUUAUGAAACUAUGAACAACUUAUGUAAAAAUGGAAAAACAGCUCUUCACUUGUUCAAGAAAACCAGCACUGUUAUACAGAAGACAAUGAAUGAAUCCUUUUUUCUGCAUCCUCGUAAAAUAUGUGAGCUUUGCUGACCUCAAAUCACUCUUAGUUUAGGAGCUGUGAAAAACUAUUCCUAAACUUCCCACUGAAGCUGUACCAACUUGCAGAAUGAUACAGAGCUCUUUUGGCUACUGAUGGGGCAUACUGCUGAUUCCAUGUCCAUAAAAUCUGGAGAGAAUUCAGGGCACACAGACUGGUUUCCCUUCAGCCAAGAUGGAAAAGCCUGAAUUCAUUUCUCCAGAUUGGAAGAUUAAGAGGUGCUUAGCUGCCCAGAUUGCAUCCCCAAUUCUAUGCACAAAAUUGGCCCUUACUAUAUUUAUAUAAUUUUGAAACAGAGAGAAAUUAAUGCAGUCUCUAAAAUAUUGUCUGUUAGGGAUACAAUAGAAGAGGAGUUCUAUACAAUUUGGGAAAUUAACACAUUUGGAAAUGAGUGUGACAUGCUAAUCAUAAAACAAAUUCAGGAAAAGUUGUAUUCCU